UUAUGCAGCUAUGGCAAAAAGCCCAGUUCUCAGAUGUCAAAUCUUUUGCAUAAAGAUCAAGCACAAUGGGCGUUUUGGUCAAGAUGAAGAAACUGGGACUGCAAUCAAUGAAGCAUUCAGGAAGGAUUUCUCAAGUUCCUAACCUUGUACAGAAGGCACUUGUGCAUAGAAGGCAAAGGGAGAGAUGCCAUCUGAGGAGAAGCUAUUUUGGGUCAUAUUCAGCACAAUCCAGCAUGGAUAGAAAAAUGAAAAGUGAAAUCAUGCGCGGCUUCCCAAGAGGGAAUUGCUGGAGACAAAAUGCUUCAUCUAAUCUGGAUGAUGAUGGGGAACCAAUCUGCCAAGUAGUCAUCCCCAUUGCCAGUCUGUGAGGCUUGGCGGAAGCCUGCUGAAAUUGCCUUCUGCUUAACGGACGC
rnacentral:lncRNA from 1 species